AGAAAUUGAAGAAAAACAAACCCAACACUAACCAUAAAAGACAUCAUGAACUAAUAUCCUAGAUUUUGUAGGCACAUCCUACCUAGUAAUAAGUCCACAAAGGGCAUAAAACAGAGUCUAAUAGUUAUAGUAAAAUAGAUGGCCAUUCCUUCUGGCAUCUGCAUCCCUUUUCACUGAUAUGACCCAUUUGAGAGCAACACGAAUCUUAUACCACACUGCUUUGGUUUUGCCACUACUUGAUAUAUCCACAUCCAAAUUGAUGAAAGUAGAAUAGCUGCUAAAUUCUGCUCCAACAGGAGAACCAAAUAAAAUGCCAGUUGGCUCCCAUGUUGUGUAAGGAGGACAAUCAUCUAUGAAUUGAAUCUCUGAGCUUUCAUUCUCUGUUGAAUAACCACCUCGCACGAAUGGAAAUUGAGAUCCAUUAAGGUCACAACUAUCCUCUUCAGUGUACAUUUCAGAGGAAAGUUCAUCUAA
rnacentral:lncRNA from 1 species